CCUACGGGUGGCAGCAGUGAGGAAUAUUGGUCAAUGGGCGCGAGCCUGACCCAGCCAAGUCGCGUGAAUGAUGACUGCCCUCCGGGUUGUAAACUUCUUUUAUAAAGGAAUAAAGUGAGGCACUUGUGCCUUUUUGUAUGUCCUUUAUGAAUAUGGAUCGGCUAACUCCGUUCCAGCAGCCGCGGUAAUACGGAGGAUCCGAGCGUUAUCCGGAUUUAUUGGGUUUAAAGGGAGCGUAGAUGGGUUGUUAAGUCAGUUGUGAAAGUUUGCGGCUCAACCGUAAAAUUGCAAUUGAUACUGGCAGUCUUGAGUACAGGUGAGGUAGGCGGAAUUCGUGGUGUAGCGGUGAAAUGCUUAGAUAUCACGAAGAACUCCGAUGGCGAAGGCAGCUUACUAAACUGCCACUGACACUGAUGCUCGAAAGUGUGGGGAUCAAACAGGAUUAGAUACCCGGGUAGUC
rnacentral:rRNA from 1 species